AGUGAACGCUGGCGGUAGGCCUAACACAUGCAAGUCGAGCGGAUGAAAGGAAAUUGCUUCUGGUUUCGGCGGCGGAUGGGGGAGUGGUGCCGAAGAAUCUGGCAGUUAGUUUUUGGUAGGGGCCUAAGGCGGGAAAUAUUACCGCAUACCUCCUGAGGCCGAACGGGGGAAAGCAGGGGACCUCAGGCCCUCAGCUGAUCCGAGGUCGGAUUAGCUAGUUGGCGGGGUAAAGGCCUACCAAGGCGACGAUCCGUAGCUGGUCUGAGAGGAUGAUCAGCCACACUGGAACUGAGACACGGUCCAGACUCCUACGGGAGGCAGCAGUGGGGAAUAUUGGACAAUGGGCGAAAGCCUGAUCCAGCCAUACCGCGUGGGUGAAGAAGGCCUUCGGAUUGUAAAGCCCUUUUGUUGGGAAAGAAAAGCAGCAGGUUAAUACUUCGCUGUUCUGACGGUACCAAAAGAAUAAGCACCGGCUAACUUCGUG
rnacentral:rRNA from 1 species